rnacentral:pre_miRNA from 1 species
AUCACUGGAGAUCUUGUUAAAAGGCAGAUUCUGAUUCAGUAGGUUGGGAGUUGAACCAGAGAUUCUGCAUUUACAACAAGCUUCUAAAUGAUGAUGA